rnacentral:snRNA from 10 species
UUACUAAAUUAGCAGUAAGUCACUGACUAGUUUUCCCAAGGUGAGGUUUAAGCCUUGCACUAUCUCUGUGCCAACCCCUGCAAUUCAGUCAACUGCAGGGAACUCCACAGCAUAAUUUGUGGCAGCUGGGGACUGCAUUUGUGCUCUGCUGGG